CAGAGAACCUCAGACAAUUUGCUUUUGGAAAAGCGCUAAUCAACCACAUAUUCAUCUGGAAUGAAAAUGCCUCUCUAGCAAGACAUUGUGUGAUAAUGAAGUACAGGAGGUGAGAGCCGUCUCAGUGACUUUUAAUUAUUUCUCAUUCUUCUGUGUCUGAAGACGAUGCUGUUGUUCAUCAUUUCCUUCCCUAAUUUGUUCCAAGAUUAGCUGACUUGUCACAGUCAUUUCCUCGUGGUCCACCACCCUGCCAUGACGGUUGAAGGAUAGCAUCAUUGACUGGACUUGCUUCAUUACUAUGGCUUUGCAGAAUGGAUCAACCUCAGGUAGCCCUAUUACAAAAGGAACUGACUCAGCUCAAGAGAAAAGCUUCAACUCCCUAUGAUUUCAUCUUUGACCCGACCAACCAGAGCUCCUGACUCACCCACCCACUACCCACCAAAUUAUCCUUAAGAACUCUGAUCCCUGAAUGCUCGGGAAAUUCAUUUGAGUAAAAAUAAAACUCCAGUCUCCUGUACAGCCAGCUCUGUGUAAAUUACUCUUUCUCUGUUGUAAUUCCCGUCUUGAUAAAUUGGCUCAGUCUAGUCAGUGAGCAAGGUGACAAGUCCAAGAGAAAAAAAUAUUUUUUGAAAUACACAUAUGUGAGUGCAUGUACACAUUCCUUGUUCUCAAAACUUACUGUAACAGAACUCAAUGUUAACGUCAUUCCUCGCUAAGUUACAAAGUUAAGAAUAACACAGUGGUGUGAAUUUUUUAAUCAAAGAAGUACAAGGUAUUUUUAGAUUGUUUCUAAUGACAGAGUUUUACUGAUGUUCUUGUUUCCAUGCAUCUCCACAUAUCUCCACAACUGGAAAUUCCACUAGCAGUAUUCUUUCAUGUAUUCCUUUCUUCAUUCAUUCACUAACUACUUUUUGGAAGGGUACCAUGUGCGAGACACUGUUCUUGAUACAGAGAUGAACAAAAAAGAAAAAAUCUUUGCCAUAAUGGACCUUGCAUUCAAGUGUGGGGAGACAAGAACAUGUAAACCAAUAAUACUUUCAAAUAGUCUGAUAUGAAGAAUAUGCAACGCAGUAAAGAGAUACAAAGAGAGAGGGAGCUAUGUUAGAGAGGCUGGCCAAGUAAGGAUUUGCUAAAUUUUCACAUUUGAAAGGAAACCUAAAUGAUGUUUAUUAUCACGGGGAUCUUGAGGAUAAGUACUGAUGGCACAGGAAGCAGAAGGUACAAAUCCCUGAGGCGGCAAUUCAAGGAAUAGAAAGGCCAGGUGGCUGGAACACAGUAAACUAUAACAGAUUGUCUCCAUUAAAUGCAAAGAAAUUUAACUGAAAACAUAGUAAACCCUUCAUAUAUUUCCUAAGAAAUGCUGCACCUGACAGGGAGAAAAUAGAAGUUUUAGAUGUGAAUGAUGGGUAUUCUGAUAGACUCAAUAGUUAAGAGACACUCUCUCUCACAUCAGUCUGGCAGAAAAUAUGAUUCAAAUGAGUACAGUAGGGAAUUUAUAAAUUAUUACAUGUCAUGACCUUUGGAGUCUGAGGUAGAUUAAAACCACAAGAAUUGAC
rnacentral:lncRNA from 10 species